UGCAAGUCGAACGGACUUAAUCGAAAUAUUUAUAUUUUGAAGCGGUUAGUGGCGGACUGGUGAGUAACGCGUAAGGAACCUGCCUAUUAGAGGGGAAUAACAGUGAGAAAUCAUUGCUAAUACCGCAUAUGCCAUAGAUAUCACAUGAUAACAGUGGGCAAGGAGCAAUCCGCUAAUAGAUGGCCUUGCGUCUGAUUAGAUAGUUGGUGGGGUAACGGCCUACCAAGUCGACGAUCAGUAGCCGGACUGAGAGGUUGAACGGCCACAUUGGGACUGAGAUACGGCCCAGACUCCUACGGGAGGCAGCAGUCGGGAAUAUUGCGCAAUGGAGGAAACUCUGACGCAGUGACGCCGCGUAUAGGGAGAAGGUUUUCGGAUUGUAAACUAUUGUCGUUAGGGAAGAGAAAGGACAGUACCUAAGGAGGAAGCUCCGGCUAACUACGUGCCAGCAGCCGCGGUAAUACGUAGGGAGCGAGCGUUAUCCGGAAUUAUUGGGUGUAAAGGGUGCGUAGACGGGAGAACAAGUUAGUUGUGAAAUACCUCGGCUCAACUGAGGAACUGCAACUAAAA
rnacentral:rRNA from 1 species